rnacentral:tRNA from 1 species
GUUUUAAUAGUUUAAAAGGAAAAACAUUGGUCUUGUAAACCAAAAAUAAGAAAGUCCCCCCUUUUGAAACU